rnacentral:rRNA from 1 species
CGGAGGGUGCAAGCGUUGUUCGGAAUUACUGGGCGUAAAGCGCGUGUAGGCGGCCUUUUAAGUCUGAUGUGAAAGCCCGGGGCUCACCCCCGGAAGUGCAUCGGAUACUGGGAGGCUCGAGUACCGGAGAGGAGGGUGGAAUUCCUGGUGUAGCGGUGAAAUGCGUAGAUAUCAGGAGGAACACCGGUGGCGAAGGCGGCCCUCUGGACGGAUACUGACGCUGAGACGCGAAAGCGUGGGGAGCAAACAGGAUUAGAUACCCUGGUAGUCCACGCCGUAAACGAUGGGUACUAGGUGUUCGGGGUAUUGACCCCCUGGGUGCCGAAGCUAACGCAUUAAGUACCCCGCCUGGGGAAUACGGUCGCAAGAUUA